rnacentral:rRNA from 1 species
UGGGGAAUAUUGGACAAUGGGCGCAAGCCUGAUCCAGCCAUGCCGCGUGGAUGAUGAAGGCCCUAGGGUUGUAAAGUCCUUUCGGCGGGGAAGAUAAUGACGGUACCCGCAGAAGAAGCCCCGGCUAACUUCGUGCCAGCAGCCGCGGUAAUACGAAGGGGGCUAGCGUUGCUCGGAAUCACUGGGCGUAAAGCGCGCGUAGGCGGUUUGGUAAGUCGGAUGUGAAAUCCCGAGGCUCAACCUCGGGACUGCAUCCGAUACUGCCCGACUAGAGGUAGGUAGGGGAGAUCGGAAUUCCUGGUGUAGCGGUGAAAUGCGCAGAUAUCAGGAGGAACACCGGUGGCGAAGGCGGAUCUCUGGGCCUUACCUGACGCUGAGGCGCGAAAGCUAGGGGAGCGAACAGGAUUAGAUACCCUGGUAGUCCUAGCCGUAAACGGUUGGGUGCUAGGUGUGGGCGGAUAUCGACCCCGUCCGUGCCGAAGCUAACGCA